UACAGAGACUGCAAGCGUUAUUCGGAUUCACUGGGCGUAAAGGGUGCGCAGGCGGUCGGGUGUGUCAGAUGUGAAAUCCCGAGGCUCAACCUCGGAACUGCGUCUGAAACUACUCGACUAGAGUACUGGAGAGGGUAACGGAAUUCACGGUGUAGCAGUGAAAUGCGUAGAUAUCGUGAGGAACACCAGAGGCGAAGGCGGUUACCUGGACGAAUACUGACGCUGAGACUCGAAAGCGUGGGGAGCAAACAGG
rnacentral:rRNA from 1 species